UGCUACCUUCUCUGGAUUUGUAUCACCAG
rnacentral:piRNA from 1 species